AGAAGGCGGUAAACGAAACGCACACAAACAAGAAAGUUGUGUUUCUUUUUGAUGUAAUACAUACCGGGUCAUACCCACUAUUUUGUACUUGGAAAGCACAACGAAAGCUGACUCGAAAUCAUGCUGUUUGGGCCCUCUUCAGACUUGUACAAUGUACAUAGGAAGUGGACUCCUUGAGAAGGUGAAAGGUCUGCUUUACAUCAUUUUCAAUGGAUGUACAAGUACAAGUACUUUGAGAAGUAUGAGAAGCUAAUCAACAGGACAGAAUUCAUUUGGGUCAUUGCUGUCUAGAUUAUAUAGUGGAUUCAUAGAUUAUCGAAUUGAUUUAUGUGCAUAUGAGCACAGAGGAGCAGUAGUCAAUGAAUAAUUUUGUGAGGAGAGCUUGUUACCAAAUGAAAGGAAAGGAUGUAUGUCAUGUAGGUGUAAAAGUCCUGCAAAACAGAACUGAUAUCAAAAUACCAUCCACAGUGAAUAUGGUGAAGAAUAACCAAUACAUGUACCAUGAAUACAGGACAUGGAAGACCUCACAAACUUGGGAGUUUUACAAAAAAUAGAACAUUUAAAUUUACAAAGAAGACAUUUAUUUUGACAUUCAUAGACUUGGAAAGUAAAGAAAUUAGAAUGUGAAUACAAAUCCUUGGAAAUAAAAUUUUGAACUUU